UGGAAAAGUGCCUCUUAGGCUCUCAUUAGAUCUGGACACACCUUUUAACCAGUAUUCUGAGUUGGCGUAGGGCCGAUCGUGCAUGCUGGUGGCGAAGCCCAUUCUUGGUCUGGUUCUUCUGAGGCUCCAGCCAGAAUAUGUCUCAUUUAGUGGCUCAGUGAAGGGGUUGGAAGUCAGAGGCUCUGGAUGAAAGCUAGCUGCCUUCCUCAGGACUGGUACCGGGGCCACGUGUCAUGAGAUUGUGUGUGAUAUAAGAUGUGCGAAGGUUCUGUUAGGAUCUGUCCAAAUACCAGGCACAGUUAGGAUUUUUUCUUAUUAAUGCACAUGAGAUUGUAAGACCACACUUUCUUUUAAAUCACAGUGUAGCUCUGAUGAACAGCUCAGUAGGCAGGGUUUUUUGAAAAACAAACUUUCUUCCACUCGGAGCUCAUGGACAUGGAGCAAGGGACCUGGAGCUGAGAAGUGGAGCUCUGGUCCUAGGGCCACCUCUCUGGGUUCCCAAAGUCCCCUUGGAAUGCUGUAACCCCGCAUUGUUCUAGAAUCAUUGCUUUUCAUGUCCUUCUCCCCACCCCUAGACAGUCAGCCCUUUGAAGGCAAGGACUAUGUCCUAUUCCACCUUGAAUUCUCAUCACCAAGCGGAACGCCUGACACCUAAUCUAGUCAGUGCUUACUAAGUGCUCAUUAUCAAUGCAAGAAUAACAGAGCUAUGGAACCUGGCAGCCACCUCUUUUCUUUGGGCCUCAGUCUUCUCAUGCAGAACUUGGGAUUGGACUAAAUUGGAUCUCCUAGGCUGCCUCUGACUCUAACAAUUCUCUGAUUUAAAUUAUUCUUCAUCUGGAUGUAAUCCACCUUGCUUUUCCAUCCCAGGCUCUGUUCUCACUCAUGGCUGAUGGGCAAAGGCGACUAAGGAGGCACGGCUCCGUGAGGAUGUCCUUACAACUUUGCAACCCCCAAGGAAAAAGAGGUUGUUUUCCCAAUAUCUACUGUAAAACCUAAGAGGAAAAUUUCACGUUGCUGCAGCUUGGAUCAUGCAUUUAUCAUUUGGACCACCUCUGAGGACAGGGAGUUGCAGUCUAUGUGGAUUUUAUGGAAUAGAUGCUAUGUGGUGGAAUCCUGAGUCACGGCCAAACAGCAAAUGCCAGCAAGAGUAGAGUAGGAGGCAUUUCUGUGUACACUUUGGGAAAAAGUCCAUUCCUCACUUGGUUUCAUUUCUGGCCUGAGCCGCUGUGUCCUCCACCUGAAGCCCUGACCUCUCCGUUACUGACUGGAUCCCAAUGUGCCACAGUUCACCUGCAUAAGGAGGGGGUCGAAGACAAGAAAACUGUGAGAGGCUAAGUAAUUUGCUGAGCUCAUAUGACAUCUAAAUGGCAGAGCUCAGAAACCUCAGGGAUUAGAGUGAAGUAGAAUAGAGGAAGUUAACCUUUCCAGUGCUACCUGCGGGCUGAGAAUGACGCACACAGCUUUUUUGAUACCCGGAAGUGAGACAAACUCAUAAGAUGGGGUGAGGAAAUGAGACAUCAAAAGAUUAAGUGACUUGCUAAAAUUUACACUGCCUACGAAAGCUGACCUGGAAUGUGAACCAGAAAUUGUCCUUAACCAAAUCACCUCACUGUCUCUCAAGAGAUGGGGUCUCACUACAUUGCCCAGGCUGGCUCUCAAAUUCCUGGCCUCAAACGAUCCUCUUGCCUUGGCCUCCCAAUAUGCUGGGAUUACAGGCAUGAGCCAACACACCCAGCUGUGAGUAUUUUUUAUCAGGAAGAAGCUUUUGGCUGUAAGAACAGAAAGUUCCAACUCUACCAACUUGCACGCUUAUUUAAUAUCUGGAGGUGGGGCAGUUCCGGGACUGGCUGUUGCAGUAGCUCAUUUGAAGCCAUCUGGUCUCCAGCUUCCUUCCCCCUUUCUGCUCUGCCCUGCCCAGUGUGCUGGCCUCUUUCUCAGGCUGGUUGCCCCCAGCUAGCAAGGGGGCUGCAGACCCCAAACAUCGCAUUCUCAUGCAACAACCAUAGGCAGAGAAAGGUGCUGUUUAUUCACCUGUGUCUCUUCUUACCAGGUAUUAAAGAAACACCUUGUGCUAAAGGCC